UACGUAGGGGGCAAGCGUUGUCCGGAUUCAUUGGGCGUAAAGAGCGUGUAGGCGGCCUGAUAGGUCAGCUGUGAAAACUCGAGGCUCAACCUCGAGACGCCGGUUGAAACCAUCUGGCUAGAGUCCGGAAGAGGAGAGUGGAAUUCCUGGUGUAGCGGUGAAAUGCGCAGAUAUCAGGAAGAACACCCGUGGCUAAGGCGGCUCUCUGGUACGGUACUGACGCUGAGACGCGAAAGCGUGGGGAGCGAACAGG
rnacentral:rRNA from 1 species